GUUAUUUUUCCCAAAAUCUAUAAUAGCGGAAGAAGUGUGUUGAAAGCCGUUGGUGCUUGUGGGGUAAAGGUGGGGAUACCGAGGUGGAAGGUCGCCGAAGGUUUCUUGUCUGUCUUGUGCAGCUGGCAGUUCUCCUUGGCAGUCUCGCGUUGGCACUGGCACCUCUGCAGGUCCACAUGAGGGACGGGGAUGGCAGAGCUGAACUACCUCUUGUGCCUGUGGGAAGGGCGCCUUUGGCCUGCGAAGCUUUUCCAAGGGGCUGCUGUCUGCUCCAAAACCAGCAAAGAUAGUAUUGAAGUGGAAAUAUUUUGCAAGGAAAAACGGGUGUUGAUCCGUCAGGCUGACACGGUCCCACUUUCCCGUCAAAGUAUUGAGGACAUCUCCCGACAUCUUGGUGAGUAGAAUCAGGAACU